AAGGAAGAAGUAUGAAGCGAUCGCUUCGAGUGAUAGUUCUCUUGCAGCAAUACAUGCCUUUGGGGAAUCAAGCUCAAGCUGAAGUUCAGAGGUUAAGAGAUCAGAUGACUCAAAUGCAAAUGAGCACAGUUAAGCAAAUUGCUUAACUUAAAACGAAUGCAGCAUCGAGAGAAGUAGAGGCUCAAAGAAAAUAUGAAGAACUCCAGCUACAACUUAAAGUGGAGGCAGCAGCGAGGGAAGCAGAGGCAAGUAGAAAAUAUGACGAACUCCAACUACAACUUUAGAAUAUGAUGACAAUGUUUCAGCAGUUGUAGAAUUCGCCAUCUUAGACGUUAGUUUCCUUAUUGUAAGAAUUUUAACAUUAUAAUUUUUGAAUAUAAUAAAUUUUGUUAUUUCAUUUAUUAA